AGUCAAGUAGCCAAAGGAAACCUCAAGCUGACUUCUAUUCAUUGUUUUGAAAAGAGUAUGCCGGAGGAUCUUAUAUAUGAAGGAAUUUAGUUAAAACCAUUUCAAUAAGAAAAGCUAAAUUUUACAGUAAUAUUUGAAUUGUGGUUAUAGGAUACAAAAGUGACUGGAGAAGGAUAGAAAAGUUUGUCAGAAAAUAAAUUUACCUGCUUUUUGGAAUGGCUGCAUCCAUGGCAGAAGGAUCUUGGAGAGGAGGAAUAGGUUUACUGAAAUUGACGCGGCGGCGAAUGAGGCGUAUAGGUAUUUCCGGUUUGGCAGUCACCCAAACAGCUAAUUUGCGUCCUCGCAUGUAGCUCCCAUUAAGUUGAGUCACGGUAUCAGCUACGUCUUUUCCGUGAACAAUAGCUGUAACUGAGCUGAAAAAUUAUCAACAAAAUACACAAGUCUGUCGUCGUUAAAAAGUAAUUUUAAAUAAAUUGAAAGUUGGGAAACAUGUUAGAAAGAAGCCACAAACCUCUUCUUGAAAAAAGAGAGGCGUGUGAUAGUUCCAUAUGGAGAGAAAAGUUUAACCAAAGCCCUGGAGAUUUGACUCUUCCUAAGCGAAGUGUCAUAUCCUUCAACUAUUACAAUAACCCUACUGCAGUAAUAGGAUAUUGCCGAAGAUGAUAAACAUUAUUAUUAUCAACAAAUCUUAUUUUUUAAAGAAAUCAGUGUUUACUCGUUUGCGUUUGCCGGAUACGGAUAAGCCUCAACAGAGACAUUCCAUCCUCCCACGUUACUUCCAGUAAGUUGCAAGGCCUUCUCUACUGCGUCUUGUCCCCCCAGUAAACACAUAACACCAUGACUGAAAUAACAACAACAACAACAACAACAAGUGAGCUGAUAUUUAACUUGAGCUGAUGAAUUGGAAAGAAAUGGAGGAGGAAGAAGCCACCAAAACCUGUUGAGACUCGUCUUAGUCUCAUCAAAUUUUAAGGGAAUAUAAAUCUCCCAGAUCUCUCCACAUGAAGAGAAAUGUUCUGCCAACGCCGUGUAGACAUCAUCAAGAGGAAGACCAGUGUCAUAUCCCGUAACCUUAAUCCUCCCAACGUCACUGCAAUAAUAAUACUAUCAACGUGACAUCUGAAAACAUGCAUCAUCUUACACAUGCCAAUUUCUCAAUUUACCUCAGUUUUGGAAUGUUAUUCCGUUUCGGAACCUAAAAAGUACAAGAGAUCAAAUCAGAAACACUACUAACUAACUUGAAGUAAUUUUCUCACAAACUUGUGAAGAAACCAUCAAUUGAGAAACAAAGAUAAGAAACCAGAGUGUAUCAGAAAAGCCAUAAGAGUAGAGUAAGAAGAAGAUUACCAUGGUGGAUGAGUACAUGGCUAACCCUUUUACAGAUUUAUCAAUUUAGGUCUGGUAUUUAUAAUUGCUUUUUUCUUUUGGGCCUUGAAUUUAGUUCUGGCCUGGACUCUAAGGCCCAUAUGGUCCUUCGACGGACUUUUUACCAACACAUACAGAUACAGUAGUACCCUUUUCAUGUUUUCGUGUCUUAAAUUUUUUUUUUUCCUAUUAAGAAUCUUAUGAGUUUCUUGAAGCUCUCUGUUCCAAUGUCCCUCAGUCCUUUGUCCAACCCUCAGACAAACUUUUGAAAGAAAGAGUUAGUGGUGUUUUGCAGAAACGGCAAUACGUAUUUUGCCUUUCAUGUUAUGUAAAAUUAUCAUUACAUCAAAUGGUUCUAAACUUUUAAAAAUCACAAGAGAACCAACCCUCAGACGAAACUUUUAGUUUUUAUUUGUUUUUAUCAUUAACCUAAAUUAUAUGAGUUCGUAUAUAUAUUUAAAAAACGAACGAUUGGGCGUUGAAUAUAUAUAUAUAUAUAUAUAUAUAUAUAUAUAUAUAUAUAUAUAUAUAUAUAUAUAUAUAUAUAUAUAUUAAACUAAAAGUUAAUCUAACUAAAAGUUAAUCUAACUUCUUCAAUUGACUUCCUUUUUCUUCUUAGAAGAUUUGUCUGGUGUUUUGGAGCUUUCACUACUGUAAUAAUACCAAAAAAAAAAAAACUGAGAAAUUUAUAAGAUACGAAAAAGUUUGAAAGAACCAUUAUUGUAACACGCAUGAAGACAUCUUUACUUGUGAGAUAAUCAUAUAAAAUCUACUACUAAUAAAAGGAACUCAUAGCCUCUCAAACCAUCCACAUCAGUUUAGUUGAGAGUCUUUUUCGUGUUGCCAUGUCAGCAAAUUGAGCCACAUCAGCUUAUUUAAAGACUAUAUAUACAAACUUCCGCCACGUCAGCAAGCUUUAAUUGGAUUCAGUCUUAGGAAGGUCUCGAGGGAUUAGAGGACAGCUUUAUUUAACAUUAAGCAGCUCGACAUCAAAGACCAGCCAAGAGUAAGGAGGAAUGCUACCAGCACCUUCCGCACCAUAGCUGUAGGCCAGACAAUUUUAUCAUCUCUCAUUAAAAAAGCUUAAAAUAGAACAUCACAUUACCAAAGAAAGAUAGAUAAGAGAUGAUUUGCAAAGGCUUUACCCCAUUGCUGGAGGAAUUGUAAGCAUUCUUUUGCCACCAACACGCAUUCCUUUGAAAUUUACAAAAAGAGAUCAAAACAACACCAUUUGACCAUAUUUAGUGAAGAAAUACCAGUAAGAAACUAGCUAGGUUACCAUUGACGCCAACAUCCAAUCCCUUAAUGACUUUUCCAGCACCUGUAUGUGUAACAGCAAGCACAUAAGUAUCCAAGUACCACUCACACACUAAUAAAGCUCUUACUUUCGCAUCAAGUUAUAAUACCAACCUAGACGAAACUUAUAACGUGAUUUUCCAACGGUGGAAUCGAAAAUCUUCCCAUUCCCUUGAAGCUUUCCAGUAUAAUGGACACUUACCUGCACUCAGAGACAAUAGAUUGACCUCCAACAAAUAUUUGCACAAAAACUCCAACAGUUUAGGACUAAAUGUUCAUACCCUUUUGCCAGGCUCAGCUUUCUUGCCGUUGGGGUUUCCCAUGCAUAACUCUUUAACAAUGAGGCCAUCUAGGUCAGGCGUUUGCUUCUCAACACUACUAGAAAAGGCUUUACUCUCCACUGUAGCUUCCUCACUUAUCUUCUCAUUCUUCUUAGCAGAUUCAGAUGGGGCCAUGGAGGUUUCACUUCUGCAAUAAUACCAAAAAAAAAAGAGCAUAGAAAUUUAUAAGAUGGGAAAGAAUUUGAAAGAACCAUUUACUUAUGAGCUAAUAAUUAAUAUCGAAUACCAAUAACAAAUGUACUAACUGAUAUAUCCCAAAUGACAUGACUACAUUUGAUUAUCCCAAAAAGAACAAAGAAGUUAAAUAAUAUUCAGUUUUAAGGCAAAGUCAAGUAGCUAAAAAAACCUCAAGCGCUAAAUUUUACAGUAAUAUUUGAAUUGUGGUUAUAGGAUACAAAAGUGACUGGAGAAGGAUAGAAAAGUUUGUCAGAAAAUAAAUUUACCUGCUUUUUGGAAUGGCUGCAUCCAUGGCAGAAGGAUCUUGGAGAGGAGGAAUAGGUUUACUGAAAUUGACGCGGCGGCGAAUGAGGCGUAUAGGUAUUUCCGGUUUGGCAGUCACCCAAACAGCUAAUUUGCGUCCUCGCAUGUAGCUCCCAUUAAGUUGAGUCACGGUAUCAGCUACGUCUUUUCCGUGAA
rnacentral:lncRNA from 1 species